UACGAGGGGGGCUAGCGUUGCUCGGAAUGACUGGGCGUAAAGGGUGCGUAGGCGGGUCUUUAAGUCAGGGGUGAAAUCCUGGAGCUCAACUCCAGAACUCUGCCUUUGAUACUGAGGAUCUUGAGUUCGGGAGAGGUGAGUGGAACUGCGAGUGUAGAGGUGAAAUUCGUAGAUAUUCGCAAGAACACCAGUGGCGAAGGCGGCUCACUGGCCCGAUACUGACGCUGAGGCACGAAAGCGUGGGGAGCAAACAGG
rnacentral:rRNA from 1 species